rnacentral:lncRNA from 1 species
CCUCCCACUGCCUCCAUCUUGGAUAAAAAUUUUUUUCAAAAAGAUGGCAUGAUGGCUCACAAUCACAUUGUGAUCUUCAGAAAGAUAGAAAUAAUAUCCCAUUAGAUUUCUUAGGAUACUUUAUGAAAUGAGUCCUAAAUGAUCUAGCCUCUAACUUGUCCGUCUGCUAUCGCUUGACAUAGAUCGGACAUCUCUAAAUCUUGAGAUAACUAAGAGUUGGCUUCUUACCAUACCAUAACUCAUAUGGUG